UUUAUAUGUAAGAUUGCUAUAUUAAGAUUCUAUCAGUUAGACCUAAACCAGAGAAGUUGUUUUUUUGAUAUAUCUGUGAGCUAGCAUGUUUAUUCAGAAAAGGAAAGAUGACUUAUCACAAGAUACUUAAGGGCAUACGAUACAGUUACAGGGGAGGUAAUGACGUUGCUAACGUAAAAUGUUAUUUUCGCGACGUCAAACUGUGACAUAUCGGGAAAAGAUGUAUUUUUCGACUGAUUUUUAUCAUUCAAACUGAUUUAAUUUGAAAACGAGUUCAUGGACCCCUAUUUUUCAAAACAGCAAUUUGUUUCAUUUUGCAGGGAGAUUAUGUGACCCAAAUUUUAUAAAACUGUAAAUAGAGGAUUUUUUAAAAU
rnacentral:lncRNA from 1 species